CUACGGGGUGCACCAGUCGAGAAUCUUUCGCAAUGGGGGAAACCCUGACGAAGCGACGCCGCGUGAGCGAUGAAGGCCUUCGGGUUGUAAAGCUCUGUCACAAGGGACGAAUACUUAUUGAUUAAUAAUCAGUAAGCUUGACGGUACCUUGAGAGGAAGCCCCGGCUAACUCCGUGCCAGCAGCCGCGGUAAUACGGAGGGGGCAAGCGUUGUUCGGAAUUACUGGGUGUAAAGGGUGUGUAGGCGGUUUGGCAAGUUAGAUGUGAAAUCUCUGAGCUCAACUCAGAAACUGCAUUUAAUACUGCCAGACUAGAGUACGAUAGAGGGAGAUGGAAUUCUGGGUGUAAGAGUGAAAUCUGCAGAUAUCCAGAGGAACAUCAGUAGCGAAGGCGAUCUCCUGGGUCGAUACUGACGCUGAGACACGAAAGCUAGGGGAGCAAACGGGAUUAGAUACCCGAGUAGUC
rnacentral:rRNA from 1 species